GGGCGGGGCCAUGGGAGCGUGACGUCACCGCGAGGGGGACUUCGAAAGCGAUGACGGUGAAUCUCCAGCAGCUUUGGGAGGUACAGGCACAGGGCAGAACACAACAGCCAGAACGUGAACCUUGAUCACCACAACAGAUGAUUCUGUUUUCCCGGACUGACUCUGCUCCAGGAAGGAAAUCAACGUUGUGGCACCCAACUCCCCAAACUCUCCCCGCCCACUUUCCUCACCUUAAUGUUCUUUUCCACAUAGUUGAGUAAGACUAAAGAUAUUUAAGCUUAUUUAAAGCAGUAUUUCAAAUUUAUUAAUGUCACCUACUUUAUAAAAUUAAUUAAAAUUAAUAAAGCUUAAGAGAAGAACACCUCUGAGAAUUAGAUAACAAGUCUGAUUGUUUCUACUGAUGCAGUGCUGUCUAUAGAUGUGUCUAUAUCUUCUUGGGCUGAGAACACUUAUUGUUUAAAAUCUUUUACAAAUUUUCCCAAAUUGGUGGAAUUCUUUCUGAAGCUUUGGUUAUUCUCUGUCUCUUUAAUGAGAAAAGUGUUUUCACACAACGCUUGAGGAAGGGAGGAAUAAACUACAGGAGACAAUGUCUUUAAAAAGAUACAGAGAGAGAUGAGACAAAAAAAGAUCAUAAACAUUCCUUAGUUUGUCUUUGCAAGUGGUGUUACCACUACACUUCUCUUUUCAACAUUAGGCAAGGAAACAAGUAAAUGUCAACUGCCCCCCCAAUCCCCCAAUGAUUUCAAGGCAUUGGCUUAAAAAGAGGGAAUCUUUUAGGUGCUCUGGCACAGCAGUGACUUUGAGUGCUCAAGGUUUGGAGGUGGCAGGACUGGGGGAAUAAAGAUGCACAAGAUUUUUGCUGUCUCUUCUCCUCAGUAAACACCUAUGCACCUCAGUGGAAAUAAACAGAAUUUUCUUUCUUACCAAACAAAAGAACAAAAUUACCCUUCACUUCAGGAAAUAAGAGCAAAUAACCUUGAGAUGUAAAAUGUCAUCAUUGUUCACACGACAUCCUCCUUUUGGAACAGCAACCCUCUAGAAGGAGAGCACAAACAUACCUUGAGUCAGUCUCCAGGAC